AUUGAACGCUGGCGGCAUGCUUUACACAUGCAAGUCGAACGGCAGCACAGGGAGCUUGCUCCUGGGUGGCGAGUGGCGCACGGGUGAGUAAUACAUCGGAACGUGUCCUAUUGUGGGGGAUAACUGAUCGAAAGAUCAGCUAAUACCGCAUAAGACCUGAGGGUGAGAGUGGGGGAUCGCAAGACCUCACGCGAUUGGAGCGGCCGAUGCCCGAUUAGCUAGUUGGUGAGGUAAAGGCUCACCAAGGCGACGAUCGGUAGCUGGUCUGAGAGGACGACCAGCCACACUGGGACUGAGACACGGCCCAGACUCCUACGGGAGGCAGCAGUGGGGAAUUUUGGACAAUGGGGGCAACCCUGAUCCAGCCAUGCCGCGUGCAGGAUGAAGGUCUUCGGAUUGUAAACUGCUUUUGUCAGGGAAGAAAAGGUCUGUGUUAAUACCAUAGACUGCUGACGGUACCUGAAGAAUAAGCACCGGCUAACUACGUGCCAGCCGCCGCAGUAA
rnacentral:rRNA from 1 species